GGGGCCGUAGCUCAGUUGGGAGAGCGACUGGCUGGCAGCCAGUAGGGCACGGGUUCGAGUCCCGUCGGCUCCAUCA
rnacentral:tRNA from 1 species